UCCUGUGGCAGUGGAGGGGAUUAAUGGAGUCUGUCUAUUGGCUGUUUGGAUAAAGGAAGUCCGGUCGAUUUAUAAGGACUCAGAACAUGGCCGCUGUGGACAACAGUAAAAGAAGACACUCUGAACUACAGAACUUCCUGCCUAACAAACAGUUAUGACCCUAUUGAUUCCUUACCUUGUUUGCACCUUGUGGAGUUGAUAUCUUAUGAGGAUUCCGGACGACCUAGUAAGAAAAAGAAAAAGGAAAAAGGAGAAUAAAGAUAUAAAAAAAGAAAAAAAGAGGAAAUAAGAAGAGAGGAAGACAUAAAUACAUAAAUAUGUGUAACUAAGGAGAGACCGAUACAACUAUAUUGAUGUGGAUUAUGGUUGCUAGAAUGAUGGAUUACAAUAAUGGUCUAUAUUGAUCACUCUUGUGAAUUGCUUUUUUGAUGUGUACACUGCCACUAUUUUGAAUAUAUGGUUAUGAUUUGGUACCCCCUAUUGUGAGUAUGGAGUAUGAAUGUGGUAGCUGGUGUAUGGUGGUGUUGGGGUGUGUAUGGGAGGUUGUGUGAUGGGAGUGUGUGUGAUUUUUG